rnacentral:tRNA from 1 species
UCCUCCGUGGCCUAAUUGGCUAAGGCGUUCGACUGUUAAUCGAGAGAUUCCUGGUUCGAUCCCAGGCGGGGGAG